rnacentral:lncRNA from 10 species
CCGCCUGCUUGGAUCUUCAGACAAGGCCUCUUCUCAAGAUUCCUAGAAUUCGAGAGCUAUUGAGUAUUUGAAUUUCCAAGAUGUGAGUCUCGCCCGGAAGUUUCCCGGAAAACGGUCGCUGACACAGAGUCCUCGGCUACCACACAAAGGCCAGAGGGCUCCACCGCCCGCAUCCUGACCCCCUGGUAGCCACAAUGCUGCAAUUGAUGUGCUGAUUCACGAAACAACACCUAUUGAGCACCUGCUGUGCUGAACACUGUCCUACCUUCCAGGGGUGGAGCCUGAUCCAAACAGACAAAACUCCUGCCCUUUUCGAGUGUACGUUUUCACAGAGAAACAGUAAAAAUAAAUAUAUAAACAAUAGAUUAGUUUGUUACAUAAGCCAUAAGUACCAUAGAGAGAAACGAAAUAGAAAAGGAAGACACGGAAUGUGGAGGGGAGAAGAGGGUGAGCAGAGGCCUCAGUAAAAGCUUCUCUGAGAAAGGGAUAUGUGAGCAAAGAGGUGAAGGAUGCAACGCGCCGGUGGAGAUGGGAAGGAGAGCGGUUUCCUCACCGGGAGAGCCAGUGCACAGGCCCUGGGGUAGGAGACCAUGUUUCAGGUUCAGGGAAUGGCCAGGAGACCGGUGGAGCUGAAAUAGAGCUAGCAAGGGUCAGAGGUGGAGGAGAUAAGGCCAGCGGGAGGAUGCAGA